rnacentral:rRNA from 1 species
UACGGGGGGGGCAAGCGUUGUUCGGAAUUACUGGGCGUAAAGGGCUCGUAGGCGGCCAACUAAGUCAGACGUGAAAUCCCUCGGCUUAACCGGGGAACUGCGUCUGAUACUGGAUGGCUUGAGAUUGGGAGAGGGAUGCGGAAUUCCAGGUGUAGCGGUGAAAUGCGUAGAUAUCUGGAGGAACACCGGUGGCGAAGGCGACAUCCUGGACCAACACUGACGCUGAGGAACGAAAGCGUGGGGAGCAAACAGG